CGUGUAGGCGGUCGGUUAAGUCUGGUGUGAAAGCCCGGGGCUCAGCUCCGGAAGUGCAUGGGAAACUAGCCGACUCGAGCGCGAUAGAGGAGGGUGGAAUUCCUGGUGUAGCGGUGAAAUGCGUAGAUAUCAGGAGGAACAUCGGCGGCGAAGGCGGCCCUCUGGAUCGUUGCUGACGCUGAGACGCGACAGCGUGGGGAGCAAACAGGAUUAGAUACCCUGGUAGUCCACGCCGUAAACGAUCGGGUACUAGGUGUUCGGGGUGUUGACCCCCUGAGUGCCGCAGCUAACGGCAUUAAGUACCCCGCCUGGGGACUACGGCCGCAAGGUUAAA
rnacentral:rRNA from 1 species